GCUACGAAGGCGCGGCUCUACUCUGUGCGGGUAUCAGCACCGUUGCCGGCGACGGUGUGCAUCUCAUUAGUCAUUGCCGUCACUUGGGCUCGCACAGUCCGACAGCGGCGCGACAAUGCGCAACUUGGUGGAAGAAGCAGAGGCGGAGUAUGAGCAGCUUGGCAGGGAGCGACGCGACGUAGCUGUGCUCAAGCUUCCCCCCCGCGACUUUGAUUUCCUCACCGCGCAGGAGAUCUCGGUGAUUCCUGUUCACGUCAUUGAGGCGCAGCGAGAAGAGCGGCGCCGCCACGGCACGGUGAACCGCGACACCUCGCUCUGCGACUUCAUUAAGUCCAUCGGCCUUGAGGAGGCGGACAUCGAGGACCCUGUGAACGGGUACAGUGUCCUGCACAUCAAGGAGUCAACGCGCGCCUACUUUGGUGAGCAGGAGGAAGAGGUGUAUCGCGUCUUCCGCAAUAACAUGAUCCGCUACACCGAAGACGCGGACUGGCUAAAGCACAUGAACUUCCUCGGCGGCCAGACGGCAGAUGAGUGCGAGCGGCAGCGCUACCUUGACCGCAACGCGCAAGCGGCGUCGGACGGGGGAUUGAUGGUGCCCGUCACUACCUACAAGCAGGCGUUCUUCGCGAAGAAGUCGAAGAAGGAGGACGAGUGAAGCAGAAAAAAUGGAAAGAGCCCACGCACAUACACAUCUGCUUUUUCGUGUGCUCUACAUGGCGGUCGGCCUUUCAGCGAUGUAUGAUAGUUCUGCUUUGCCGGCAUGUUGCCAGAAUCCCUGUUCAGUUCUUUUGCAGUGGCAAGCAACCCUCAGGGUGUUGCAUCCCGCCACGAACCCUUUUCUUGUCUCUCUGCCCACCGUCCAAUCACCCUCCUGCUUCCAAGCACAUCAACCCCCUUCCCCCGUUCGAAGUCGGCUGUCGGUGCAGCAGCUGAAGAGUCGGGGAACAGUCGGUAUGUGUGUGUGUUCGUGUGUGGCGACUGCCCAUGGACGUCCAAACGGCACACGGUCAGAGACAGAGAAGAAAGGCUCACAAAGGAAGUGCUGUUUUUCCCUUUUAGUCUUCUGCACAGGCUCUCUUUCUCUCUCUCCUUCCGAGGUGAGCCGGACCAAAAUGUGCUGGCCGAUG
rnacentral:misc_RNA from 1 species